GAUGAACGCUGGCAGCGUGCUUAACACAUGCAGGUCGAACGGAGUUAUUCAUUAGCUUGCUAAAGAAUAACUUAGUGGCGGACGGGUGAGUAACGCGUGGGUAACCUGCCGUAUACAGGGGGAUAACACUUAGAAAUAGGUGCUAAUACCGCAUAAGCGCACGGUACCGCAUGGUACAGUGUGAAAAACUCCGGUGGUAUACGAUGGACCCGCGUCUGAUUAGCUAGUUGGUGAGGUAACGGCCCACCAAGGCGACGAUCAGUAGCCGGCCUGAGAGGGUGAACGGCCACAUUGGGACUGAGACACGGCCCAG
rnacentral:rRNA from 1 species